UACGGAGGGUGCAAGCGUUGUCCGGAAUCACUGGGCGUAAAGGGCGCGUAGGCGGCUCAUGAAGGCUGUGGUGAAAGUCCGGGGCUCAACCUCGGAUCGGCCGUGGCGACUCGUGGGCUGGAGCACUGUAGAGGCGGGUGGAAUUCCGGGUGUAGCGGUGGAAUGCGUAGAUAUCAGGAGGAACACCGGUGGCGAAGGCGGGUCUCUGGGCCGAUACUGACACUGAGGAGCGAAAGCGUGGGGAGCAAACAGG
rnacentral:rRNA from 1 species